AUACGUAGGUGGCAAGCGUUGUCCGGAUUUACUGGGUGUAAAGGGCGUGUAGGCGGGAUAGCAAGUCAGAUGUGAAAUACCAAGGCUUAACCUUGGGGCUGCAUUUGAAACUGCUGUUCUUGAGUGUCGGAGAGGGAAGCGGAAUUCCUAGUGUAGCGGUGAAAUGCGUAGAUAUUAGGAGGAACACCAGUGGCGAAGGCGGCUUUCUGGACGAUAACUGACGCUGAGGCGCGAAAGCGUGGGGAGC
rnacentral:rRNA from 1 species